UCUUCCGAGGUGCAUAAAUUCAAAAUAUGUAUUCGGAGUGUUAUGUGUGUUGCUUGUCAUUUCAAAAUAUGUGUGUACAUUGCAUCAUGUGAACCAUGUGCAUCACGUGUCUUGACAAAAUACAUGCCUGCUGCACACGCAUCAAAAGUUUUUAUGAUACAAGAGAAGCUCACGUUCACAAAAUACUCACAAGAUACUAACUUAACAGUAAACUCUGAUUACACAUGAGAUUAAGUGAGUAUCUGACAAAUGCGAGUGUCUUUUAUUAUAAACCCCUUCAAAGCAUCUGCAGCAGGCUUGUAUUUUGACAUCCCGCGUGAUGCACACAAGUUUACAUGACGCGCCAAACACAUAUUUUGAAAUGACGAGCCACACACAUGACGGCUGCAUACAUGUGACAAACUUUGCAUUUUGCGCCCUCAAAAAAAGAAGUCACUGGCCGCAACUACUAUGUUAUGUUCACAAUGUGAGAUCAUGACACACUCACUGUGAGCAGGCACAAUUUACAAAGUACCAUCAAGAUGUUGCUCAGAGAGCUAAUAUGCUAGCAUUUGCUAUUUGAAAAACAGGUCACUGAGAUGUCAACAUUUAUUUGCAAAUCAUACAGUGAACCCUUAACAAGUCAUGAACACACACAUGCACAGAGCAAGUAUCACUGCAUCACCCAAACACUGCAAUCACUUCCUUCCAGCUGUGGAAAUCAAACCAACAUCCUCUGGGUUGCAAACAAGUCUGAUUCUCUAACCACUAGGCCACAAUGCUUAAACACAUAUCUGUCAAUCCUGGUCACUUUUACUUAAAAUCUGUGCUUUCUAGAAUCUUUAUUUGUAGGCUUCUUGAUGCCAUAACCUUGUUGUUGACAUUUUAUAUGGUAUAUACACGCCAUGCACAGGGCUGUAUAAAAUGCUGUGUAGAAAGUGUCCUAAAUUUUGAGCCUAUGAUCAUUCCUAUAUUUCUUAAAAUUACAGGUAAGAAGGGUGACUUUCUACUCUUGGACCUACGUUUUCCAGACAUAUGUGUGUUGUCCUGCUAUGACAAAGUGAGUGUGCCGUGACCUUACAUUAUUAUGACCAUGGAAUGAGAGCACAGUUGGACCAUGAACUCACAUCGUGACCAAUGUGAGGUCACUCAUACUAUUGUUACAAUGUACACUAACUUUGUGGCCUAGUGGUUAUAGCGAGUCAGACUUUGUAACUCAGAGAUUAUUUGUUCAAUCCCACAGCUAAGUUAUUGAAGUGUUGGGGUGUUGCAGUGAUAGUUGCCCUGUGUGGGAUGUGCAUAUCUGUGUGUGUGGUUUUUGUGUGUUCAUGACUUGCAGUGGAUGGGUUCAUGCAGAGAGAAAUUCAUGUCUUUUUUACUUUUUCUUUUAUUUUGCCCGAUAUCAGUUGCAAUUAAAUAGUGACAUGUUUCCAAUAGCAAAAGCUAGCAUAUUAGCUCUCUGAGCACCCUGCUGAAAAAAACAGCAUCAAACCAGCAUGGACCAGCAUGGGAAUUAUGCUGGUCUAUGCCAGGUUUAGCUGGUGGUCACCAGCAUACCAGCACCAAAACACAAUAUAUGCUGGUCAUGCUGGAAUGACCAGCAUGGGAUGCUGGUGCUAAUGCUGGUUUGGUGCUGGUUUAGCUGGUGCUAAUGCUGGUGCUGAUGCUGGUUUAGCUGGUGCUAAUGCUGGUGCUGAUGCUGGUUUAGCUGGUGUUCACCAGCAAACCAGCACCAAAACAUGCCGGUACUUGCAUAUGGUGGGCUUUAUGGGGUAGUACAGUGAGUGUGAAGUGAUCUCAUAUUGUGACCUUCAUAUGAGCACACAUUGAGUGUGCAGCGUGCUUACACAUUAAAAUCAUGACCCACACAGUGAGUAUCUUGUGAGCUCAUGGUGACUUCCCUUACGAAAAUUAACCAUGGUUUUACUACAGUUAACUUAAAACCAAAAAAGCAUGGUUACUGUAGUAAAACCAUGGUAACCACAAAAUAACCAUGGUUUUGACAACCAUGUUUUUCUAAAACCACAGAACCAUGGUUAGUGUAGCCGUUUAGUGUAGUAAAACCAUGGUCAAAGACCCGAGGUGAGGUAUACAUUAAAGGGUUAACCUGAAGUAGUAAAACCAAAAGAAAGUCAGCAUCUCUUUAGUGUCCUCACUAAUAUAAGAAAUUACUAGUUUGUCUUCCACCCAGUGCAAGCUUUUUACAUGAACCCCCAAACCCCACCCAGAAAAACACAGCACAACUUAUUAAAGUUUAUUUAAUUUAUUUUAAUGUUUGAUUGUUCUGUGAAAUACAGUGGUAAUUAAGUGCUAAAAAUCUACAAGAAUUGAAUUUGUUUCACGUUUUUUUUUUUUUUUUGCGCCACUGGGUCAAUACAACGUAGUACGCAUGUGUCUGCAGGAAGAGCCGCUUGUGCGAGUGCUCCAUACUCCAAUCCAGUAGGUGGCGGUAAAUGCACCUUAAGUUGGUUUGCCACCCACCAUUUAAACAACAAAAGAAGAAGAAGAAGAAGAAGAAGCCGCUUGUGCGCAUGUGUCUGCAUCCAAAGGUUACCACGACAAGUUUGCGACUGAGUAAAUACAGAUACUACAGUUCGUGAUCUGGAGCUUGACUUCACAUGUUUUGUGGUGAUUAAAGGCGGAGUCCAUGAUGUUUGAAAGCCAAUGUUGAUAUUUGAAAUCACCUAAACAAACACGCCCCUACCCCAAUAGAAUCUGGACCUUCUGUUGAUAGACCCGCCACACACAUAUGCAACCCGGCAAGGAUGUCGGUUAGUAGACACGCUCCUUACUGCUGAUUGGCUAUAAGUGUGUUUUGGUAGUCGGCCCGUCUCCUUUUCCAAAGCGUUUUUCAAACAUCGUGGACUCCGCCUUUAACAAAUUGUGCGGUGCUUUUGGCAUUGUCUAUCCAUGUAUAAUUGUGAUGUUCCAGGAGUGCUAAUGGAAGCUACACGGUAUGUAGAUGUUUGUUCCAGUAUGUUUAUGUGUGUGUACCUGGUAAUUAUCACGUUGUGGGGACCGAAUGUCCCCACAAAGAUAGGAAUACCAGUAAAUUUUGACCUCGUGGGGACAUUUGUGAGGUCCCCAUGAGGAACCAAGCUUAUAAAUCAAACGGAAUGAUGUUUCUUGAAAAUCUAAGGUCGCAGAAAGUUUUCUGUGAUGGUUGGGGUAAGGGUUUGGGGAAGGGAAUAGAAUAUACAGUUUGUACAGUAUAAAAUGCAUUACGUUUAUGGAAUGUCCCCACAAAACAUGGAAACCAGAAUGUGUGUGUGUGUGUGCGUGCCAUGGAACAAAUAUUUAUUUUAUACCUUUUUGUGUGUUCUGUUUUUGACUUUUUUCCCCUGAUAUCAAGACACCAAAAUAAUGUUUUAAUACGCAUUUUCAUGUGUUUGUAAAGAAAAUAAAUGGUGUACUUCACUGUUA